UAAAAUACUUUACUUGUACUUCCUGAUGAUACAAACAAUCCUGCCCACUUCCUCUGCCAGAUAUUGCACCCACUCGUCAGGAUUUGUGCGUCCUUGACUCUGCCCCACCCAGUGCUCCCAGCAGGGGCAGGUGCAGGAAGCUCACUAGGUGGAGAUGUUGGAAUUGGUUUUUCUUGCAGACAAAGACCUGCGGACCAAGGGCUUCAGCCUAGAGUCGUGCCGCAGCAUGGUGAACCUCAUGGAUCGUGAUGGCAAUGGGAAGCUGGGCCUGGUGGAGUUCAACAUCCUGUGGAACCGCAUCCGGAAUUACCUGGUAGGUUGUCCCCACUCACCUCAGUCAUGCAGGUGCGGGCCGGGCAGGUGGGAAGGGCCGGGUGACUCAGCCUGGCCCUCACCCUCUGCCGCCACCUCAGUCCAUCUUCCGGAAGUUUGACCUGGACAAGUCGGGCAGCAUGAGUGCCUACGAGAUGCGGAUGGCCAUUGAGUCGGCAGGCUUCAAGCUCAACAAGAAGCUGUACGAGCUCAUCAUCACCCGCUACUCGGAGCCCGACCUGGCGGUCGACUUUGACAAUUUCGUUUGCUGCCUGGUGCGGCUAGAGACCAUGUUCCGAUUUUUCAAAACUCUGGACACAGAUCUGGAUGGAGUUGUGACCUUUGACUUGUUUAAGUGGUUGCAGCUGACCAUGUUUGCAUGAGGCAGGGACUCGGUCCCCCUUGCCGUGCUCCCCUCCCUCCUCGUCUGCCAAGCCUCGCCUCCUACCACACCACACCAGGCCACCCCAGCUGCAAGUGCCUUCCUUGGAGCAGAGAGGCAGCCUCGUCCUCCUGUCCCCUCUCCUCCCAGCCACCAUCGUUCAUCUGCUCCGGGCAGAGCUGUGAGGCCCCUGCCUGCGCCAGCCAUGGGCUCGGGAUGGACUCCCUGGGCCCCACCCAUUGCCAAGCCAGGAAGGCAGCUUUCGCUUGUUCCUGCCUCGGGACAGCCCCGGGUUUCCCCAGCAUCCUGAUGUGUCCCCUCUCCCCACUUCAGAGGCCACCCACUCAGCACCACCGGCCUGGCCUUGCCUGCAGACUAUAAACUAUAACCACUAGCUCGACACAGUCUGCAGUCCAGGCAUGUGGAGCCGCCUCCCGGCUUGGGGAGGCCCCGGGGCUGGGAACGCCUGUGCCUUCCUGCGCCGAAGCCAACGCCCCCUCUGUCCUUCCCUGGCCCUGCUGCCGACCAGGAGCUGCCCAGCCUGUGGGCGGUCGGCCUUCCCUCCUGCGCUCCUUUUUUAUAUUAGUGAUUUUAAAGGGGACUCUUCAGGGACUUGUGUACUGGUUAUGGGGGUGCCAGAGGCACUAGGCUUGGGGUGGGGAGGUCCCGUGUUCCAUAUAGAGGAACCCCAAAUAAUAAAAGGCCCCACAUCUGUCUGUGA
rnacentral:sRNA from 1 species